GCUGCAGUUAUUGCAGCAGGGUCAUCUGCCAGAAGUGGCUAAACUGCAAGAGAUGAGAAUGUGUGAAGUCUACCACUGCAUCACUAUCUACCACUAUAACUUCCGUUAAUCCCUGAUAUCUAUCAUAUUUUGAAAGGAAGUUCAAUUCACCUUUCUUGCGCAACGGCAAGGGUUGUACAUAAAGACCAGAGUCAACACAAGCUCUUCAGACAAGGAACAGGAGCAGGAAGAUGCUGGCAAGGAUCAAGAGCGGGGCCGUGGACAAUUCUGAUUUGAUGGAGACAGACGUGAAAGCACAGGGGAACAUCUGGAGAAAUUUCUGAAACGCUGGUUCACUGCCGCUGUUACUGGGCAAUCAAGAAUCUUCAGGAGGGAAGGCCCCAAAAUCCCCGGCUUUGCCUGCUGCUGGCGACCGAGGCUGAGGUUGAAUCAUUUGGAUAGAGAUGGUGCUCGGUACUCGGUAUCGGAGGGCUGAUCAGAGCUCGAAGUUUUCGCAGGACUUAGAGUCGGACUGUGGUCGGGCAUGGCAAGGAGAGUUUUCUUCCUUCUCCCGUCUGCAUGAGAUGUGGGACAUUUGAGAAACUUUGAACUUUUUUACUGUGCCGUGGCCUGUUCUUCAUCAAGUUAUGGUAUUGUUGCACUGUUGUAACUAUAUGUUAUAAUUAUGCGGUUUUUGUUAAUUUUUCAGUCUUGGUCUGUCCUGUGUGUUUGUGAUAUCACACCGGAGGAAUAUUGUAUCAUUUCUUAAUGCAUGCAUUACUAAAUGACAAUAAAAGAGGACUGUGUGUCUUCAUAAUCUAAUCUAAUCUAAUAUUCAAAGACUCAGCCGCCAACCUAGAUGAAUAUGUCACCAACAUCAUGAAUUGUCAACAGCAAGUGUGUAAAGAACUAUUGUAUGAUAAAGUUCGCUCCAGGUGUUCUCAAACUAGAAACUAUGGAUGAACCAAGAGAUCCACUCCUUAUUGAAGUCCAGGACUGCAGUGUUCAAUUCUGGUAACACUGACCAGAUAUCAAGAUACAACUUUAGCAAAGCUAUCAGCAAGGCAGA